ensembl:lncRNA
GAUGGCUGGAUGGCAUCACCGACUCGAUGGACAUGAGUCUGAGUGAACUCCGGAAGUUGGUGAUGGACAGGGAGGCCUGGCGUGCUGUGAUUCAUGGGGUCGCGAAGAGUUGGACACGACUGAGCGACUGAAGUGAACUGAACUGACUGAAGCCUGGACAUACUGUGGAAUAGGAUGCGAGUCGACAGUUAUGGCGACAGUGAUGGUGACCCAGAGGAGACUUCCUUCCUUUGACUGGACUCCAUGAGGAAUCCGAGCUUUGGUACCAGCAGCGGCCCCUUGCACCAAUCUGCCUCCUCGGGGAGUGCAGACGAAUUUGGUGGUCAUGUAUAGAUGUGAGAGUUGGACUGUGAAGAAAGCUGAGCACAGACGAAUUGAUGCUUUGGAACUGUGGUGUUGGAGAAGACUUUUGAGAGUCCCUUGGACUGCAAGGAGGCCCAACCAGUCCAUCCUAAAGGAGAUCAGUCCUGGGUGUUCAUUGGAAGGACUGAUGCUGAAGUUGAAACUCCAGUACUUUGGCCACCUCAUGUGAAGAAUUGACUCAUUGGAAAAGACCCUGAUGCUGGGAGGGAUUGGGGGCAGGAGGAGAAGGGG